GUGCACACUUUGGCAGCAUGUAUACUAAAAUUGGAAUGAUAAAAAGAUUAGUAAGGCCCCUGCACAAGGAUGACACCCAAAUUUGUGAAGUAUUCCAUAUUUUU
rfam:Canis lupus familiaris chromosome 28, whole genome shotgun sequence.